UUGGCAUAAUAAAUUGUUAUUAGCGAUAUGGUAUCAUAUAAUUGGGGCAUCAAAGGUCCAUUCAAAACUUGAUUAAUUUUCUCGUAAACUGAGACCAUUUACAUUCACAUGCAAACGCUUGAAACGUGUUAAUCCUUUCACAUUCACCAGAAAACAGGUUUGCCUAAAUCAGUUUCGCGCUCUCUCUCAUUUUCCCACCAAAGCUGCAGAGAAAUUUCAUCUUCCCAGUUGGAGAUUCAGGUCUAGCUUUUAGUUUUUUAUUUUUCAGCUCCCAAGAGUUUGCAUCGCCUGAUUUAGAGACCACGCCCGUUGUUGCUAAAAUUGAUGUGGCACAAGCAACACCACCUGCUAAUUUUACAAUUGAUGUUGGAGAGUAUGAAGAUCAGAAUCUGGAGCCUUAAAAAGAGCCGGAUGAUGAGAAUGAUACGCCUCAAAAAGAUAGCGGAGAAGAAAAGUGUCAUAUUUUCACUGGGGAUUGGAAGGUCGCACUCUCAUGCAUUUAAUUUUAAUUUAAAUUGCUAUGUGGAGGUUUUUGUAAAGUACAAUAUUAUAUGCUUAUGAAUUACAAGAUUAUGCAUGCCACAUUUAACCUUAAAUUUGUAAAUUAUAGUGGAAAAUACAGAAUUAUUAUGCUAGAAGAAGUUUGAAAUUCAUAUGAAAAUAUGAGUUAUUACAUUCAGUAACUGGAAUGACAGAUAGAUGUGUAAUUUUGGUACAAGUCCUGUUAUUACUCACUGUUUACUGUACUGUAUAUAUUGAGGUC